UCAGUCGACUCCUACGGGGAGGCAGCAGUGGGGAAUAUUGCACAAUGGGCGAAACCCUGAUGCAGCCAUGCCGCGUGUGUGAAGAAGGCCUUCGGGUUGUAAAGCACUUUCAGUAGGGAGGAAGGUAGUGUAGUUAACACCUGCACUAUUUGACGUUACCUACAGAAGAAGCACCGGCUAACUCCGUGCCAGCAGCCGCGGUAAUACGGAGGGUGCGAGCGUUAAUCGGAAUUACUGGGCGUAAAGCGCAUGCAGGCGGCCUGUUAAGUCAGAUGUGAAAGCCCGGGGCUUAACCUCGGAAUUGCAUUUGUAAACUGGCAGGCUAGAGUCUUGUAGAGGGGGGUAGGAAUUUCAGGUGUAGCGGUGAAAUGCGUAGAGAUCUGAAGGAAUACCAGUGGCGAAGGCGGCCCCCUGGACAAAGACUGACGCUCAGAUGCGAAAGCGUGGGGAGCAAACAGGAUUAGAUACCCUGGUAG
rnacentral:rRNA from 1 species